AAGACAGCUCACAGUGGGACCUCCUUGUCAGCGCUGGGUGCCUCGGUCACCUCCCUCUUCACCUCCAACAGCUCCUGUGUACCCAACCUCAUUAGGGAAGGCCGAGCUGCUUCUGUCUGUUCAAGUUCAUGGCUUGUACAGCAUCAUCCAGUCACACUCCUCUACUCUAUCCUCAGCAGCCGAGGAGACUUCCAGUUCCACUUCAUUGAUGUUGCUAUCAUCCUAAUCAUCGCCUUCACGAGUAGUGUGGAUCUCUGUCUCCGACAUAUUUUAGCUAGCAUUACCCAGAGCCGAGUGUUUCAACAGACGCUGUACUAAACAUCCCGACCACAUUCUUUAUGAGAUUAUUUGCCGUUGGGAAGAGRCAUCCAGCUCUUCCAUUUAUGCUCAACCUUUAUGUAAAUCACUUUA